AUCUAUGCCUUGAUAGGUCUUCAGUUACUCAUGGUGAAACAUAUAGAGGGAGCCCAAGCCAAGAAGAGAGGUCUGGUAUCAAAGAUUUGCUGAAUUCACAAUUGAAGAGGCUUAUGUCAGUCCCUUAGAAAGAAUUUGAGGACUCCUCGGAAAAUUGCUGAGUUGAGUAAAUAUUUCCUUCCAUAAAGGUAAAUAAGCAUCUCAAGAGCAAGUUUCUACAUUUUGUAUUUCCCUGUUUUAUUUCUGUAAAAUUGUGCAACCAAGAAUUAUGACCUACUGAUAUUAGAAUAAAAUUUGCAGAAGUUUGA
rnacentral:lncRNA from 1 species